AGGGUUGGAGGGACGAGGUAGAGGGAUGGAGGGAUGAGGUAGAGGGAUGGAGGGAUGAGGUGGAGGGAUGAGGUAGAGGGAUGGCGGGAUGAGGUAGAGGGAUGGAGGGAUGAGGAGAGGGAUGGAGGGAUGAGGUAGAGGGAUGGCGGGAUGAGGUAGAGGGAUGGCGGGAUGAGGUAGAGGGAUGGAGGGAUGAGGUAGAGGGAUGGAGGGAUGAGGUAGAGGGAUGGAGGGAUGAGGUAGAGGGAUGGAGGGAUGAGGUAGAGGGAUGGCGGGAUGAGGUAGAGGGAUGGCGGGAUGAGGUAGAGGGAUGGAGGGAUGAGGUGGAGGGAUGAGGUAGAGGGAUGUCGGGAUGAGGUGGAGGGAUGAGGUAGAGGGAUGGAGGGAUGAGGUAGAGGGAUGGCGGGAUGAGGUAGAGGGAUGGAGGGAUGAGGUAGAGGGUGAGGAUGAUGUCAUGAUCCUCAGGGUCAUGUCUGUUCAGCCUCAGGAAGGGAGCGGUCGUUUUAGUGUAUUUCAUUAAUAAAGGGAAGGCUGGACAGGCGUCAGACACAUAACAGACACGUCAGACGGGCCUCUCACCUGAC
ensembl:lncRNA